GACGAACGCUGGCGGCGUGCUUAACACAUGCAAGUCGAACGGAAAGGCCCUGCUUUUGUGGGGUGCUCGAGUGGCGAACGGGUGAGUAACACGUGAGUAACCUGCCCUUGACUUUGGGAUAACUUCAGGAAACUGGGGCUAAUACCGGAUAGGAGCUCCUGCUGCAUGGUGGGGGUUGGAAAGUUUCGGCGGUUGGGGAUGGACUCGCGGCUUAUCAGCUUGUUGGUGGGGUAGUGGCUUACCAAGGCUUUGACGGGUAGCCGGCCUGAGAGGGUGACCGGCCACAUUGGGACUGAGAUACGGCCCAGACUCCUACGGGAGGCAGCAGUGGGGAAUAUUGCACAAUGUGCGGAAGCCUGAUGCAGCAACGCCGCGUGCGGGAUGACGGCCUUCGGGUUGUAAACCGCUUCCGCCUGUGACGAAGCGUGAGUGACGGUAAUGGGUAAAGAAGCACCGGCUAACUACGUG
rnacentral:rRNA from 1 species